GCCAGCAGCCAUAUCACUCUGCAACUCACAACUGGCAACCCACUGAAGCUAAGCAGGUGUGAGCCUGGUCAGUACCUGGAUGGGAGACCUCCUGGGAAAAACUAAGGUUGCUUCUA
rnacentral:rRNA from 1 species